AAAAACUCACAUUUGUUUCACUCUUUCUUCCACCAACUUGCAAAAUGCAGUAGUACACUUUCCACCAUAUCCUUUCUUUUUUUCAUUUCACCUCUCAUAAUCUUUCCACAACCAACCUACACCUUUACUACUACUCUCACAACUCACAAAGAUAUUCUCUCUUUCUACACAAACAAAAAUACAUACUGCAUAUAUCAUCAUUU
rnacentral:lncRNA from 1 species